rnacentral:lncRNA from 10 species
CUGAAGUUCACUGUGGAAAGGAGAGGGAAAGAGGUUGGUAUCUAGGAAGAGAAAGAGGGGUGAACAAGGAGGAGGAGAAGGUGAUGGCCAACAAGGCUUUGUGUUAGUAAGGCUGGAACAUGACCUUUAAGCACAGCUAUGGUUUUCCUGAACUUAAUCCUCUGGAUCUUCAGAGCAGAGAAAGUCAGAUGGAGGUCGAAAUUGAAUUGCUGCUGACUGUUGUCCCUUGUUAUGGCCUGUGGAGAUAUGACAAUUGAGGGAGAACUUAGAGGAAUGCCAAGUAGCAGAGCGUGAAGCUGUGGGUGUGGCCCACUGCCUUGGACAUUUUAUGGCUGAUAGCACUUGGCAAGGAAAAAAUGCAGCCUUGAAAGUAGGCUUGCAAAUAGAUUUCAAUAUCAGCCAUGCCCCCACAAUCACCCCUAUUUGAUUUCUCCUGUAAUAUACGCUUUGCCAAAAUCCAAUCUUCUAAUACUCACCUACCUCACUGGUCCCCUUGCAAACUACCUAAAUAACUAAGUAAAUAACACUUGGACAAUUUCUUUGUUUCAUUGCAAAUUUGGGCACAGAAAGUACAGGCAAGGCACAUUAAACUUCUUGUCCAUCCACUUUUGAUU